GUUUGGUUAUGCUAAGUAGAAGAUACAGAUUUGUAAUGCCUAAAUUCUCACACUUCUAAUCCUACAGUCCAAUUAUUCUGGCAUUUGCUACAAUGUGCUCUGAAGAAAUGGAUUGGAAAUAAACAAAUAAAUAAAUAAAUAAAUAAUUCCACAGGAGGAAAAAAAUGCGUUCUGAAAGGAUCAGGAUUUUCAAAGCCCCCAAGCUUCAACAUAUCCGAGGAUCGAAGGCCUGAAUAAAGUGGCAUCACAGAAGUGUGAGAACAGCCUUUCCCCAUUCUCCGGAGUGGAUCCAUGAGCCAGGAGUCAGGCCUGCACUUUGAGGAGCGGAAGUGCUUUUGUGAGGACAAGCAAGAAUGUCUUGUAAUUUCAACUACCCUUAAAGCUGUUUCAGGGUUCCCUGAUAAUGAACUAACUGAUACUGGGACUUCCCUUCUCCAUCCCCCAAAGAAAAGCUGCGUUCCAACUCAACACCUCAUAGAACCAGAGCCCCCUAAUAUCCCUAGGUGUGGGCAGCUGGCAUUCCCCAACAUUCCCCUAACACCCAGCACCUAAGCUAAGAAUGCUUGGGGCCUGAACCCCAAAUGUUUAUUCAGCCAUGUAAAGCCACUUGCACACUUGUCCUAUAAAAAAGGAAAGCAACAGAAUGUUUUUCUCCUCUUGGAGCAGAGCCCCACAGUGAAUCUAGCAAUGCACUGGCUCAAACAUGCCCCCUUUUCAGCAGCAUGCUGAAAGAAAUAGGAUCCAUGCGUCAGCUGGAAUUUCUAUCUCUGAGUUUCUACCUAAACUAAGUGAUACUUUCUGUUAUUCCCAGUCACAUCAAAACAAAUGUGAGAUUCAAAUUUUAAACUGGGCUAUACUGUAACAAAUUAGACUUGACUCUUUUUGUUUUGUUUUGUUUAAAUAACAGAAAGUGACUAGAAAACUAUAGGAUCCACCUAAGAUGCUAAGACAUGGCAAAGUGAGACC
rnacentral:lncRNA from 1 species